GACGAACGCUGGCGGCGUGCUUAACACAUGCAAGUCGAACGAAGUGGCGAACGGGUGAGUAACGCGUAAUCAACCUGCCCUUCAGAGGGGUACAACAGUUGACAACGACUGCUACUACCGCAUACUGAAGGAGGGGAUUGCGUUUGAUUAGCUGGUUGGCGGGGUACGGCCCGCCAAGGCGAUGAUCCGUAGGCGGUCUGAUAGGAUGAACGGCCACAUUGGGACUGAGACACUGGCCAGACUCCUACGGGAGGCAGCAGUGGGGAAUCUUCCGCAAUGGACGAAAGUCUGACGGGGCAACGCCGCGUGAGUGAUGACGGCCUUCGGGUUGUAAAGCUCUGUUAAUCGGGACGCGGUACCGGAAUAGAAAGCCACGGCUAACUACGGGCCAGCAGCCGCGGAAUAC
rnacentral:rRNA from 1 species